CCCACUCCCCGGCGAGCUGCCCCAUCCCGAGCGCCGCCAGUCUCCCCCAACCUCCGGUGCCUCCCGGAUCCGCCACCUCCACGCGGUGGCCAGCUCCUCCGCCAGAUCGCGCCACGCGCAGCCGUACCCACCGUCCCGCCGGCGCCAGCGGCCCGACCCAGGUGGCGCUUCGACGGACCUCCUCCCGGCGAGGCCCGACGCCAACGCCGGGGAUCUCCAGGAGCGGUCGUCCCCUGCUGCGGAUCGCGCCGCCGCCGUCCCCAGCGCUUCUAUACAACCUUCGCCGACCGCCGCCACCAAUCUUCAGAUGCGCCGCCCCGGCAGAUCCGACGCGUCUCCUUGACCUCCCAGGCGAUGCCACCGGCAAAGCUAGGUUGGGGCCAUCCAUCUCCUCUCGCCCCCCGGCAAGGCUCCCCCGUGACCACGCAGCCAAGCUGCCGCAUCAAACUGGCCGUUCAACACCGCCGUCUUGGGACGUUCAAUGACGUGGCCCCAGGACGUUCGCUGUCGCAGCGCACGGAUCACACUGUCACCAUGCUUCAUGAGGCCGAGAUAUUUCCAUUCUUCAUUCGUCGAUUUCGGAUUGAACUGAGAAGUCAGGUUCGCAAGUGUCAUGUUUGGCUGUUCGCCGCAGCAGCCCGGAGGUGCUCAUGUAGCCGACCAAGAACAGGGCUGGGACAGGGAUAUUUUUGUUCUCAAACACGUCGCUGCGAAUGGUCUGGGUGGACGAGCUAGCCUGAGGCUUGGUCUUGCUCGCCGGCGUUGGGCGCAGUUCGGCUGGAAAGAAGAAGGAGCUCCAUCCAGCCUAUGAAGUUUAGCUGGUGAGCAUGUGCAGUCCGACGGCGCGUGUGUGCUUGUGUCCGGUUCACGGGCGUACUGUGUGUGGUGCUUGCGUGCACACGGCAGCCACAUGUUGUAUGAGGAGAAGCCAAGCUAAAAAGAAGAACACACUACGCAAGACAGGCACAGAGAGGUUCAGGGCUUCAGGCAAUGUGAUGGUGCAGCCGCUGCAGCAUCAACUACAACAGCGCGGCGCUCCUGGUGCUCCUCUCCCUCUGCUGCUUUGCAUGCUGCGAUGCCACCGCCUCCUCACUGUACGAAAAGGUUUGAGUGGGGAAAAAUUGCAGCUCAUGAAUGAACCUGGAGAAGUUCUAAUGCGAUGGUGCUAUUCUCUGCAGUUAUUUGUUUCUCGUGAAUGCAUUUGGUUGUGGCUGAUGGAUCUCUAUAUUCAUAUAUUAUUUGCUUUAUUUUGGUGUGACUUGCACCCAGCUCUCUCUAUUCUUUUUUUAAUCAACUCACUUAUGGACGUACUGAGUAAUUCGUGCGACUUUGCUGCAUCUUGUUUCGGUCUGCAGCCCAGCACUGAUUCUUCAGUCUGAUUUGAAUGUCAGCUGAAUCCAUUUAUUAAGUUACAACCU
rnacentral:rRNA from 1 species